GACGAACGCUGGCGGCGUGCCUAACACAUGCAAGUGGAGCGACGAACCAGGCUUCGGCCUGGGGCAAGGCCGCGAACGGGUGAGUAACACGUGGGUAACCUGCCCUGAUGAUUGGGACAACCCGAGGAAACUCGGGCUAAUACCGAAUGUGCCCUCCGGCCUCAAGGCCGCUGGGGAAAGGAAGCUUCGGCCUCCGCAUCGGGAUGGGCCCGCGGCCCAUUAGCUUGUUGGUGAGGUAACGGCNCACCAAGGCGACGAUGGGUAGCUGGUCUGAGAGGACGAUCAGCCACACUGGGACUGAGACACGGCCCAGACUCCUACGGGAGGCAGCAGUGGGGAAUCUUGCGCAAUGCGCGAAAGCGUGACGCAGCAACGCCGCGUGGGGAAGAAGGCCU
rnacentral:rRNA from 1 species